rnacentral:rRNA from 1 species
AUUGAACGCUGGCGGCAGGCCUAACACAUGCAAGUCGAACGAGUGGCGGACGGGUGAGUAAUGUCUGGGCAACUGCCCGACGGAGGGGGAUAACUACUGGAAACGGUAGCUAAUACUGCUUACCAUCGGAUGUGCUCAGAUGGGAUUAGCUAGUAGGUGGGGUAAUGGCUCACCUAGGCGACGAUGCCUAGCGGGUCUGAGAGGCUGACCAGCCACACUGGGACUGAGACACGGUCCAGACUCCUACGGGAGGCAGCAGUGGGGAAUAUUGCACAAUGGACGCAAGCCUGAUGCAGCCAUGCCGCGUGUGUGAAGAAGGCCUUCGGGUUGUAAAGUACUGUCAGCGGGGAGGCGUUACUCGCAGAAGAAGCACCGGCUAACUCCGUGCCAGCAGCCGCGGUAAUUC